UCUGGCCUCCCACAGAGACGGAUUUGGAAACAAGAGGACUACACAGACCCUCUGACAGUCUCUUGGGGGACACAAUGGCUUGCCAAGGGAUCCUUGAUACACACUUCGAGAACCACUUGCAUAGACCAUCACCAUCAUCCUGGAAGGUUUUUUCAGAGAGGACCACUACUCUGACUUCCUUCAAGAUUAGCAUUGCCUUUCCUUGAUCUUCAUGUAUGUGGAAUCAUAAGGUUGGCUGGGUGUUCCCACGGCUCUGGGAAAGGCAUGGCUGAUCUCAGCUGCAGGCUCACACAUCUAUUGUCAGCUGGUAAAAUGAACGAGAUAACUCCACUCUCUGCAAGUCGCGCAUACCCGCCAGCAGGCCAGCCUUCUCAUGUGCUCUCACGGCAGUGUCAGAGACUUAAAGUGAAGAAACAAAAAUGUGCCUCCACUCGUGUCCAGUUUGCUGCUACAGCUUGAGUGUUCCUUAUCCAAAAUGCUUGGGACCAGAAGUGUUUCAGAUUUCGGUUGUUUUUAGAUUUUGGAAUAUCUGCAUAUACAUAAUAAGAUAUCUUGGGGAUGGGAUCCAAGUCCAAACACAAAAUAUAUUUAUGUGUCAUUACACUGUAUACACAUAGCCUCAGGGUAAUUUUAUACACUGUUCUAAAUAAUUUUGUGCAUAAAAAAUUGGGGCCAUUAAUGCCACCCAUCUACCUUAUGAAUAUCGCCUAAAGCUAAAACUGUUGAUAAGUUUUCAAAAUAGAGUGCAUUACUGGUAAAAAAACAAGUUGAAGGGCUGGAUACGGUGGCUCAUGCCUGUAAUCCCAGUACUUUGGGAGGCCGAGGCAGGCAGAUUGCCUGAGGUCAGGAGUUUGAGACCAGCCUGGUCAACAUGGUGAAACCCCAUCUCCACUAAAAAUACAAAAAUUAGCCAGGCAUGGUGGUGCGUGCCUGUAAUCCUAGCUACUCAGGAGGUUGAGGCAGGAGGAUCACUUGAACCCAGGAGACGGAGGUUGCAGUGAGCCGACACAGUGCCACUGCACUCCAGCCUGGGCGACAGAGUCACUCUGUCUCAAAAAAAAAAAAAAGAAAAGAGAAAAAGUUGGAAGUGUGUAACAGUGAAACACUAAAAGAACAUAACUGACCCCAUUUUUGUUUAAGGGGCCUUUUCCUGUUCCUGCACAUAGGCUAGGCUAAUUUGGGCACACAGAUAAAAUACAAAAAUAGCCAUUUUGUAUUUGUACUCUGGGAUUAAAGAGAGAGUAUGUAAGCAACUAUGUUUUGUUAAAGAUUUAUAGGAACAUUGUGACUUGGCUAAAGACAAAGACAAAGAAGUUUCCAACCUCCUCAGACCCUUGUUGGCACUCAAAUGUCUGCAGUUGUCAGUCACCUCUUGAUCCCAACUCCUCCUCUUCCCACCACCCUUAACAUAAAGAGUCUGAAAUGAGUACUGACCAAAGAUGGUACUUUAGGACGCUAGUCCACCAUCUUCUCAGUUUUCUGGCUCUUUGAACUAAAGUCACCUUCCUUGUUCCAACUCCUUGUCUCUCUACUUACUGGCUGUUGUGUGGUGAGCAGAAUGAGUUGGAACUGGGUUACAAGGGUAGAGAGGUUAAGAGUGGUUUUCCAAUAAAUAUUUAAUCCAUGAACAAAUAAAGUUAGUUCAAUGCUGAAGAAAUGUCUAAUAUAACCAUUUAUAUGGCUACUUGAUGUAGUAGAAGUGAAUUCAUAAUACAGGGGUACAGUCUGUAGGGUUCAAUAUGCUGUGCUGUAACAAAUACCACACCCUAACAAAAUACCAAGAUUUGUCUAAGGAAAAACAAAAGAUAGAAGUGUUAAAAGCUGCAUGUGAAUUUUGAGAAAAUCCAUGAAUUGCUUGAAAA
rnacentral:lncRNA from 10 species